rnacentral:lncRNA from 1 species
UGUCAAAGCACAAAAUUGCACCAAAGUUAUACAGGGAAAACAUUAGCUGAUUGUGCACACUAUGUAUGCGGGAGGAGUAGGUUGCUUGAAUGGAGUCACAACGUCAUGGUAAUCUGCUCCUGGCAGAAACUGCGAUGGAUUUGGUUAGUUUUGACUGAGUUUCUGAAUCAGAGUCUGCAGAUGUGGAAGCCACCUCUGGAGAGAAAGCCACCGUUGAGAACAAGCAAUGACAGCUGUGGCGGUUUUACAAAAAAGAAAAAGGGGCAUCCUGGGGAAAAGCUGAGUGUUGGGAAAAAUGCUGAGGCAGGGCUUGUAUGUCUGACUUAAUGUAAAAGAGUCUUGGAACAUGUCAGGGGUCUGGGGUCUAAAACCUCUCGUGGCCUUUGGAAUAUGUCUAGACUUGCUGGCUCUUUGCUUCUAGCACUCACAGUCUCAUAGAUUGAUUGUAUCUUAAACUAGAAGAACAUGUUUCCCAUUAUCUCAAGUAGCAGAACAUGUUCCAUAUGCUGCAAAGAAAAUGCUAAACCGUCACAGCUGUAGAUCAUGCACUUGACACACCAGUUUCUUUCAACCCCCACUUCCUCACCACCUGCUUCUUUGUUUGAUCACCAAUAAAUAGUGCGGGCUUCCAGAGCUCAGGGCCUUCGCAGCCUCCAUACUAGCGUUGGCCCCCUGGUUCCACUUCAUGCACUCUUAAACUUCUCUUUUCUCAUUCCUUUGACUCCGCCAUACUUUGUAGCCCCCACAGCCUGGUGUUGGGUCUGAUCAUCCCAACAAAAUAAGAUUGCUACAGUUUUUGUAUGCAAUUUAUAAAAUAUAUGUGUUAUUUGACAAAAUAAAAAUGAUUCAAACUUGGUAUCUAGAUUAUAUGUUGGAUAUAUCAAAAUUAAUAAAGUGGACAUUUUAGAAAUCAUUUAGAA